rnacentral:rRNA from 1 species
GCGGGUGUCACGUAAGGGACGCGGUAGAGGAGCGUUCUGUAAGCCUGUGAAGGUGAGUUGAGAAGCUUGCUGGAGGUAUCAGAAGUGCGAAUGCUGACAUGAGUAACGACAAUGGGUGUGAAAAACACCCACGCCGAAAGACCAAGGGUUCCUGCGCAACGUUAAUCGACGCAGGGUUAGUCGGUUCCUAAGGCGAGGCUGAAAAGCGUAGUCGAUGGGAAACAGGUUAAUAUUCCUGUACUUCUGGUUACUGCGAUGGAGGGACGGAGAAGGCUAGGCCAGCUUGGCGUUGGUUGUCCAAGUUUAAGGUGGUAGGCUGAAAUCUUAGGUAAAUCCGGGGUUUCAAGGCCGAGAGCUGAUGACGAGUCGUCUUUUAGAUGACGAAGUGGUUGAUGCCAUGCUUCCAAGAAAAGCUUCUAAGCUUCAGGUAACCAGGAACCGUACCCCAAACCGACACAGGUGGUCGGGUAGAGAAUACCAAGGCGCUUGAGAGAACUCGGGUGAAGGAACUAGGCAAAAUGGCACCGUAACUUCGGGAGAAGGUGCGCCGGCUAGGGUGAAGGAUUUACUCCGUAAGCUCUGGCUGGUCGAAGAUACCAGGCCGCUGCGACUGUUUAUUAAAAACACAGCACUCUGCAAACACGAAAGUGGACGUAUAGGGUGUGACGCCUGCCCGGUGCCGGAAGGUUAAUUGAUGGGGUUAGCGCAAGCGAAGCUCUUGAUCGAAGCCCCGGUAAACGGCGGCCGUAACUAUAACGGUCCUAAGGUAGCGAAAUUCCUUGUCGGGUAAGUUCCGACCUGCACGAAUGGCGUAACGAUGGCGGCGCUGUCUCCACCCGAGACUCAGUGAAAUUGAAAUCGCUGUGAAGAUGCAGUGUAUCCGCGGCUAGACGGAAAGACCCCGUGAACCUUUACUGUAGCUUUGCACUGGACUUUGAGCCUGCUUGUGUAGGAUAGGUGGGAGGCUUUGAAGCGUGGACGCCAGUUCGCGUGGAGCCAUCCUUGAAAUACCACCCUGGCAUGCUUGAGGUUCUAACUCUGGUCCGUGAUCCGGAUCGAGGACAGUGUAUGGUGGGCAGUUUGACUGGGGCGGUCUCCUCCUAAAGAGUAACGGAGGAGUACGAAGGUGCGCUCAGACCGGUCGGAAAUCGGUCGCAGAGUAUAAAGGCAAAAGCGCGCUUGACUGCGAGACAGACACGUCGAGCAGGUACGAAAGUAGGUCUUAGUGAUCCGGUGGUUCUGUAUGGAAGGGCCAUCGCUCAACGGAUAAAAGGUACUCCGGGGAUAACAGGCUGAUACCGCCCAAGAGUUCAUAUCGACGGCGGUGUUUGGCACCUCGAUGUCGGCUCAUCACAUCCUGGGGCUGAAGCCGGUCCCAAGGGUAUGGCUGUUCGCCAUUUAAAGUGGUACGCGAGCUGGGUUUAGAACGUCGUGAGACAGUUCGGUCCCUAUCUGCCGUGGACGUUUGAGAUUUGAGAGGGGCUGCUCCUAGUACGAGAGGACCGGAGUGGACGAACCUCUGGUGUUCCGGUUGUCACGCCAGUGGCAUUGCCGGGUAGCUAUGUUCGGAAAAGAUAACCGCUGAAAGCAUCUAAGCGGGAAACUUGCCUCAAGAUGAGAUCUCACUGGGAACUUGAUUCCCCUGAAGGGCCGUCGAAGACUACGACGUUGAUAGGCUGGGUGUGUAAGCGUUGU